UACAGAGGGGGCAAGCGUUGUUCGGAAUUACUGGGCGUAAAGGGCUCGUAGGUGGCCAACUAAGUCAGACGUGAAAUCCCUCAGCUUAACUGGGGAACUGCGUCUGAUACUGGAUGGCUUGAAUCCGGGAGAGGGAUGCAGAAUUCCAGGUGUAGCGGUGAAAUGCGUAGAUAUCUGGAGGAAUACCGGUGGCGAAGGCGGCAUCCUGGACCGGCAUUGACGCUGAGGAGCGAAAGCUAGGGGAGCAAACGGG
rnacentral:rRNA from 1 species